GGUUAAGCGACUAAGCGUACACGGUGGAUGCCCUGGCAGUCAGAGGCGAUGAAGGACGUGCUAAUCUGCGAUAAGCGUCGGUGAGGUGAUAUGAACCGUUAUAACCGGCGAUUUCCGAAUGGGGAAACCCAGUGUGUUUCGACACACUAUCAUUAACUGAAUCCAUAGGUUAAUGAGGCGAACCGGGGGAACUGAAACAUCUAAGUACCCCGAGGAAAAGAAAUCAACCGAGAUUCCCCCAGUAGCGGCGAGCGAACGGGGAGGAGCCCAGAGCCUGAAUCAGUGUGUGUGUUAGUGGAAGCGUCUGGAAAGGCGCGCGAUACAGGGUGACAGCCCCGUACACAAAAAUGCACAUAUUGUGAGCUCGAUGAGUAGGGCGGGACACGUGGUAUCCUGUCUGAAUAUGGGGGGACCAUCCUCCAAGGCUAAAUACUCCUGACUGACCGAUAGUGAACCAGUACCGUGAGGGAAAGGCGAAAAGAACCCCGGCGAGGGGAGUGAAAAAGAACCUGAAACCGUGUACGUACAAGCAGUGGGAGCCUCUUAAUGGGGUGACUGCGUACCUUUUGUAUAAUGGGUCAGCGACUUAUAUUCUGUAGCAAGGUUAACCGAAUAGGGGAGCCGAAGGGAAACCGAGUCUUAACUGGGCGUUAAGUUGCAGGGUAUAGACCCGAAACCCGGUGAUCUAGCCAUGGGCAGGUUGAAGGUUGGGUAACACUAACUGGAGGACCGAACCGACUAAUGUUGAAAAAUUAGCGGAUGACUUGUGGCUGGGGGUGAAAGGCCAAUCAAACCGGGAGAUAGCUGGUUCUCCCCGAAAGCUAUUUAGGUAGCGCCUCGUGAAUUCAUCUCCGGGGGUAGAGCACUGUUUCGGCAAGGGGGUCAUCCCGACUUACCAACCCGAUGCAAACUGCGAAUACCGGAGAAUGUUAUCACGGGAGACACACGGCGGGUGCUAACGUCCGUCGUGAAGAGGGAAACAACCCAGACCGCCAGCUAAGGUCCCAAAGUCAUGGUUAAGUGGGAAACGAUGUGGGAAGGCCCAGACAGCCAGGAUGUUGGCUUAGAAGCAGCCAUCAUUUAAAGAAAGCGUAAUAGCUCACUGGUCGAGUCGGCCUGCGCGGAAGAUGUAACGGGGCUAAACCAUGCACCGAAGCUGCGGCAGCGACACUAUGUGUUGUUGGGUAGGGGAGCGUUCUGUAAGCCUGUGAAGGUGUACUGUGAGGUAUGCUGGAGGUAUCAGAAGUGCGAAUGCUGACAUAAGUAACGAUAAAGCGGGUGAAAAGCCCGCUCGCCGGAAGACCAAGGGUUCCUGUCCAACGUUAAUCGGGGCAGGGUGAGUCGACCCCUAAGGCGAGGCCGAAAGGCGUAGUCGAUGGGAAACAGGUUAAUAUUCCUGUACUUGGUGUUACUGCGAAGGGGGGACGGAGAAGGCUAUGUUGGCCGGGCGACGGUUGUCCCGGUUUAAGCGUGUAGGCUGGUUUUCCAGGCAAAUCCGGAAAAUCAAGGCUGAGGCGUGAUGACGAGGCACUACGGUGCUGAAGCGACAAAUGCCCUGCUUCCAGGAAAAGCCUCUAAGCAUCAGGUAACAUCAAAUCGUACCCCAAACCGACACAGGUGGUCAGGUAGAGAAUACCAAGGCGCUUGAGAGAACUCGGGUGAAGGAACUAGGCAAAAUGGUGCCGUAACUUCGGGAGAAGGCACGCUGAUAUGUAGGUGAAGCGACUUGCUCGUGGAGCUGAAAUCAGUCGAAGAUACCAGCUGGCUGCAACUGUUUAUUAAAAACACAGCACUGUGCAAACACGAAAGUGGACGUAUACGGUGUGACGCCUGCCCGGUGCCGGAAGGUUAAUUGAUGGGGUUAGCGGUAACGCGAAGCUCUUGAUCGAAGCCCCGGUAAACGGCGGCCGUAACUAUAACGGUCCUAAGGUAGCGAAAUUCCUUGUCGGGUAAGUUCCGACCUGCACGAAUGGCGUAAUGAUGGCCAGGCUGUCUCCACCCGAGACUCAGUGAAAUUGAACUCGCUGUGAAGAUGCAGUGUACCCGCGGCAAGACGGAAAGACCCCGUGAACCUUUACUAUAGCUUGACA
rnacentral:rRNA from 1 species